UCCCUGGUGGUCCAGAGGUUAGGACUCCACGCUUCUACUGUAGGGGGCCCAGGUUCAAUCCCUGGUCGGGGAA
rnacentral:tRNA from 1 species